rnacentral:rRNA from 1 species
ACGAGCGGCGGACGGGUGAGUAAUGUAUGGGGAUCUGCCUGAUGGCGGGGGAUAACUACUGGAAACGGUAGCUAAUACCGCAUAAUGUCUACGGACCAAAGCGGGGGACCUCCGGGCCUCGCGCCAUCAGAUGAACCCAUAUGGGAUUAGCUAGUAGGUGAGGUAACGGCUUACCUAGGCGACGAUCCCUAGCCGACCUGAGAGGGUGACCGGCCACAUUGGGACUGAGACACGGCCCAA